rnacentral:lncRNA from 1 species
CUUCUCGGCUCAACUAGGUCAGCGCAAGGAACUGGUUCCCUCCUUCCUCUUCCACCUGCCCUACCUUCUCCAGAGAUCCGACGUGGCGAUUAGAGUUCUCAGCGUCACACUGACUUCUAGGCAACUAGCCUAGACUGGAGCUGCGUGUUGUGGGAACCCCGCGGCAGUAGUUGAGCAUCAGGCUCUUACCUUGGAGGUGGAGGGGUGAGAAGAAUGGAGGAAGAAGGGAUAAGUCAGAGGAGGGCCUGAACAACUAGCCCCUCUAUUGGCCUGCUUUGGGCAAUGACAAAGAAGAGAAAGGCGAUGAAGAACCAAAUGAACUUCAAGCAGAAGAAACUUACUGUCUGGCGGCAGAGUUACUUAACUUCCGGAGGGUGGGCUUGGAAGGCCAAGGAUGUGGCUCCGCAGUGGACUGCUUGCUGCCCAGUGUGUGCCCGCGAACCACAGCGCACACAAGAGUGAAAUCGGGACUAGCGACUGGAGAAUUAAGUUCCUCACUAGCAAGGAUGGGUGGGCAGCCAAGGGUGAUGGCCUUUAAUCUUUGCACUCAGCAGGUCCCAAAGAAGGCAAGCGAGCCACAAAUCCUUGGUGCACACCUUCCUUCCAUGAGCCAGCACAUGCUUGCGGAAGACCCGUGCGGGAACCCUCUAGGCAUGGUGUGCAGUAUGAGGAUCUGAGCUUGAGGGGCCUUGACCCAGAGUCCUGUUAUUAGGGUCUGCCCAAUCCAAACAGCCCCUGCACAGAUAAAGGCUUUUGGACGGCUGCUA